UGCAGAGUGAAAGUUGGACUGUGUGGGCAACGUUUUCCUAGCAACAAUGCCAUUGUAGCAGCUGUGAAGGACCACGUGCCAGGUAACAGUCUCUAUUCUGAAGGCUCAAAGCUUUUACAACAGUGGAAUAAUUCUGUGUGUGGAGAAAGGGAGGCAGGGUGACCAUGGCUGCUGCAGCUCACAUCCAGAACUGCUGGCAGAAGCUUGCUGUUUGCCUCAGCUUUUAAGGAAGCAAACCCAUCUUACAUCUGCUAAGCACCCUUCCUUCACAGAAAUCCACUGAUUUCAUAAGCCCUGCCUCUGCCUUGUGCAACGACUGGCUGGAAGGGCGAGUCAGUAUUGCUCACGUUGAGGUUUGGCCUUGUAAAUACAGGUAGCCUGCUGCAGACCCGUUGCUUGUGCCAGGGGUCAGCAUAAGCAACGCUUGAAGUUUGCUUUUUCAGAGGGAGCUUUCUGUCCUAGCAAUUUGUUUUGGCCUUGGACCCCUUCUCUGCUGCCGUGAGCUUAACAAGAUCCUCUGUCAUUCUCCAGGGAAGCUUUCAAGCUCGCUGCUGCGGGUUUUGAAUUGGCUUUAAAUAAAAGGUGUUCUGUUUCUGAAGUGCCCUGCCCAAGGGCUCCGGAGCACUCUGCGUGCAAUCCAAACAGCCAGCAGACAAAGCUGUUCCAGGUGAAGUGCCCGAGCGUGAUGACGUGGCAGAGAGCUGCAGGGAAGCGUUUGCAAUUGAGUCCCAAAGGAAGAAGGCUUUGUCUGAAAACCCACCGUCUGCAGGUGGUGGCUGAGUGUCAAGGUCGGGGCUGUGCCCCUCUGCCUGCACGGUGCCUCUGUGCUGAUGACCCUGCUUGGUUGAAGGAGAUGCAAAGGGGGAGAAGCAGAGGGUUCUGUCUGUCUGUCAGCUGCCUUCAGAAAGGUCCUGCUGGCUCCUUGCCUCUGCUCGGAUCGCGCCGGUCUGUGCCAGACUCGGAGGUCCUGAGGAGGAGAGAAGACACGAGUUCAGCAUGGUAGGAAACAGAUUGAAGCGCUCCUAACUUAAAAACUUUGCAAAUGCUGGCUGUGAACGCUGCUUAUUUCCUCAUCAAGCCUGUGCAGAAAUGAAGCAUGUCGUGGCAGAUGGCUCAGGUUCAAGUAGUGGGAGCUGUGUGUGUUCCUGGUUUUCGGAGCGCUGUAGCUUUGCUGUUCUUCAAGUGCAGUGUAGAGGAUGCAAGGCUUGCUGAAAUGAAGCUGUUUCUGUGGAGGAAUACCGCAGCUGAAGGAAUGACGUGGAAAACCCUUCCCAAAGACCAGAGGUGGAGAUGCUCACCUGGAUGGGAGGGGAGGAUGUUGGCAGUAGGAGCGGAGUGGAGCCAAGGAGGAGGGAUGCUGAAAUGCAGGCAAGGAAAAGCUCUGGACAGCACAUUGCUCCCUCCAUGGGGACAGAUUGUCUGGAGGCUGGAUGGAGCACAGGCUUGGCAGGAGGAAGCCUAUUGCUGGGACGUGCUGCCAGUACAGUGGCAGAAGAGUCUGCUGAGAACGUGUGAUCUGCAGCACGCCACGGACCCUCCGCUGCAGGGUGAGCCCCCAGCGUGGCACAGCACAGGCUCUGCAGAAUCCCAGGGGAUCAGCUUGGAGCUGCUUCUCACGGGGGUAGUGAGGCACUCUGGCAGCUGUCUGGAAGUGAGGAAUGCUGAG
rnacentral:lncRNA from 1 species